rnacentral:rRNA from 1 species
AUUGAACGCUGGCGGCAGGCCUAACACAUGCAAGUCGAACGAGUGGCGGACGGGUGAGUAAUGUCUGGGAAACUGCCUGAUGGAGGGGGAUAACUACUGGAAACGGUAGCUAAUACAGCAUACCAUCGGAUGUGCCCAGAUGGGAUUAGCUAGUAGGUGGGGUAAAGGCGAACCUAGGCGACGAUCCCUAGCUGGGCUGAGAGGAUGACAAGCCACACUGGAACGGAGACACGGUCCAGACUCCUCCGGGAUGCAGCAGUGGUGAAUAUUGCACAAUGGGCGCAAGCCUGAUGCAGCCAUGCCGCGUGUAUGAAGAAGGCCUUCGGGUUGUAAAGUACUUUCAGCGGGGAGGCGUUACCCGCAGAAUAAGCACCGGCUAACUCCGUGCCAGCAGCCGCGGUAAUAC